GUCCCAUUCGUCUAGUGGUCUAGGACACCGCCCUUUCACGGCGGGAACACAGGGGUUCGAACCCCCUAUGGGACGCCA
rnacentral:tRNA from 1 species